rnacentral:rRNA from 1 species
GUCUUCGGGCAUGCCACCCUGAAAACACGCCCCGUUUCCGUCCGAGCUCGGAAGCUCAGCAGGGUCGGGCCUGUUUAGUUAACGUGGAUGGGAGACCACCAAGGAAGACCGGGCGCUGUAGAGG